UGCCCAGCAACUCCUAUCCCUACCUCCACGCGGUACCGACCGGAAACUAUCAGCAACCUUAGCGAAGAUCGGGUAACCAACCCCGGUGGGAACUUUGGUUGUAGGCGGACAGGGAAGG
rnacentral:ribozyme from 1 species